rnacentral:tRNA from 1 species
GGGGGUAUAGCUCAGUGGCAGAGCAAACGACUUAUAAUCGGAAGGUCUCGGUUCGACCCCCGGUGCCUCCA